rnacentral:rRNA from 1 species
ACAUCCAGAGAACUUAGCAGAGAUGCUUUGGUGCCUUCGGGAACUCUGAGACAGGUGCUGCAUGGCUGUCGUCAGCUCGUGUUGUGAAAUGUUGGGUUAAGUCCCGNAACGAGCGCAACCCUUAUCCUUUGUUGCCAGCGGCUCGGCCGGGAACUCAAAGGAGACUGCCGGUGAUAAACCGGAGGAAGGUGGGGAUGACGUCAAGUCAUCAUGGCCCUUACGGCCAGGGCUACACACGUGCUACAAUGGCGCAUACAAAGAGAAGCGACCUCGCGAGAGCAAGCGGACCUCAUAAAGUGCGUCGUAGUCCGGAUUGGGGUCUGCAACUCGACUCCAUGAAGUCGGAAUCGCUAGUAAUCGUAGAUCAGAAUGCUACGGUGAAUACGUUCCCGGGCCUUGUACACACCGCCCGUCACACCAUGGGAGUGGGUUGCAAAAGAAGUAGGUAGCUUAACCUUCGGGAGGGCGCUUACCACUUUGUGAUUCAUGACUGGGGUGAAGUCGUAACAAGGUAGGCGUAGCGAG